AACGAACGCUGGCGGCAUGCCUAACACAUGCAAGUCGAACGAGACCUUCGGGUCUAGUGGCGCACGGGUGCGUAACGCGUGGGAACCUGCCUUUAGGUUCGGAAUAACUCAGAGAAAUUUGAGCUAAUACCGGAUGAUGUCUUCGGACCAAAGAUUUAUCGCCUUUAGAUGGGCCCGCGUUGGAUUAGCUAGUUGGUGGGGUAAAGGCCUACCAAGGCGACGAUCCAUAGCUGGUCUGAGAGGAUGAUCAGCCACACUGGGACUGAGACACGGCCCAGACUCCUACGGGAGGCAGCAGUGGGGAAUAUUGGACGAUGGGCGAAAGCCUGAUCCAGCAAUGCCGCGUGAGUGAUGAAGGCCUUAGGGUUGUAAAGCUCUUUUACCCGAGAUGAUAAUGACAGUAUCGGGAGAAUAAGCGCCGGCUAACUCCGUG
rnacentral:rRNA from 1 species